AGAGUUUGAUCCUGGCUCAGAACGAACGCUGGCGGCAUGCCUAACACAUGCAAGUCGAACGAGACCUUCGGGUCUAGUGGCGCACGGGUGCGUAACGCGUGGGAAUCUGCCCUUUGCUUCGGAAUAACAGUUAGAAAUGACUGCUAAUACCGGAUGAUGUCGAAAGACCAAAGAUUUAUCGCCAAAGGAUUGGCCCGCGUUGGAUUAGGUAGUUGGUGGGGUAAUGGCCUACCAAGCCGACGAUCCAUAGCUGGUUUGAGAGGAUGAUCAGCCACACUGGGACUGAGAUGCGGCCCAGACUCCUACGGGAGGCAGCAGUAGGGAAUUUUGCGCAAUGGACGAAAGUCUGACGCAGCAACACCGUGUGAGGGAUGAAGCAUUUCGGUGUGUAAACCUCUGUCGAUGAUGAAUAAAGCGUGUGGGAGUGGAAAGCCCAUGCGUUGAAGGUAAUCAUGAAGGAAGCACCGGCUAACUCUGUGCCAGCAGCCGCGGUAAUACAGGGGGUGCAAGCGUUGUUCGGAAUCACUGGGCGUAAAGGGAGCGUAGGCGGAACUACAAGACAGGGGUUAAAGAUCCGGGCUCAACCUGGAGAGUGCCUUUGUGACUGUGGUUCUUGAGUAUGGUAGAGGUCAGCGGAAUUUCCGGUGUAGCGGUGGAAUGCGUAGAGAUCGGAAAGAACACCAGAGGCGAAGGCGGCUGACUGGACCAAUACUGACGCUGAGGCUCGAAAGCGUGGGGAGCAAACAGGAUUAGAUACCCUGGUAGUCC
rnacentral:rRNA from 1 species